CAGAGGUGAUUUCCAGGCAUGUUUUCACUCUGCAGAUAUAAUAACAGUCAACACACUCUUCUAUUGGCUCCAGUCACACCAACAUUGAUGUUUGAUUGUAUGCAAACUCAGUGAGCUUCCUUGUUGCUCAGCUAUAAAAACUUCACAUCAGGCUGUCAGUGGAGUUCACAGCACAUCAGUUUCAACAUAAACCAUGUUUUCUGUAGCUCUGCUGCUGCUGUUGGCAGCUGGAUGUGUGAAGUGUGAACAGCUGACACAGCCAGCCUCUGUGACUGUGCAGCCAGGUCAACGUCUGACCAUCACCUGUCAGGUCUCUUAUGAUGUUGGCAGCUACUACACAGCUUGGAUCAGACAGCCUGCAGGGAAAGAACUGGAGUGGAUUGGAGCUGCACGUGUUGGAUCCUCCACAUACUACAAAGAUUCUCUGAAGAACAAGUUCAGUAUCAGUGCUGACUCUUCCAGCAAAACAGUGACUCUAAAUGGAUAGAAUGUGCAGCAUGAAGACUCUGCUGUGUAUUUCUGUGCCAGACACCACUUUUUUGCAGUACUUGAAAUUGUGAUGAAAACUGCAUACUAUGAUAUCAUUUAUCUCAUUUGAGUAAAUUAUAUUACAUUCAGUAGCAACCUGCAAUGGUGCUGGUCAGAUUUUCAACCAUGUUGAAACUGAAGAACACACAUGAAG